GCGUGUCGUCAUCACACCGCGCCAGGUGGGCGCAGGAACAACGCAUGAGUGACAGGCCCUGGCCGCGGAGAUUUCAGGUUGAGGCUGCCCCUUUAACACGGUGCACUGCAAGAGGUGUAUCUGGUACCUGAAGGUGUCCCGGAACCCCUUGUUGACCGACGGCGAAUCAGCGCAGCCACUGAUGACUCGGAGAUACAGAAACGCCAGAUACAGGACUUCCCUGAAAACAAAACACCGGAGCAUAAGCACAUUCCUUAUUCCUACAUGAGAAGAUUGAAGUAACAAGGUUCUUUGAUGAUCAUUUCAAACUGGAUCACUCUGCCCGGUGACCCUCGUAUCAGCACUGCUCACCGGAUGCUGAGAUCAAAGCUCGCGCUCAGCACGAACCCUUUCUUCUCAUUGAGGAACACUGCCUUGAUGCUCCCAGCAUGGCCACUGAUCACAG